CAUCGUGAGGACACACAAACAGCCUGGUGAACAGGCCAGUAGCCAGCACCAGCUUGCCGGCCACAUGAGCGGAUUUCCUUGGAAGGUUCUCCAGUCCCCGUCAAGCCCUUGGGGGACCACAGCUCUGACCAGAACCUCAUGAGAAAUCCCAAGCCAGAACCUCCCCAGCUAAGCUGCUCCUUGAUACUCAGGGCUUCACGCACUUCUGGAGAUGCCACCCGUUCCUGCAACUCUCCUGACCAGCUCUGUGCAGGAGCCCCCCAGCCUGCGACCACAGCUGCUUUCGGCCAGUUCCCAGACCUCGUCCUCCUCUGAAGUGCCAUCUCUGCCUUCCACUGGGCUGACCAGACAUCUUCUCUGAUCCCUCGCGGUCACCCACCGCGUGUGACUGUGACCGACCCCCAUCUCCCCCCCCAAGUCUCAAGUCUCUUGGCUCCCCAGCUGCCUGCUCCUGUUGCUUUGUCACCCCAGCAGGCUCGCCCUAGCCAAUCCCUUUCCUAUGCCCGCGAGAAAGAAGGUUCUAGGCUCCGGUCUGCAUGACCCAGUCACUACCUUACCUGAACACAGACUCUCCAGAUUCUCUCCCUGUGUCCGCAGCACCGCCUUCGAGGAUCUCCAGGACCUGCCAACGUGACCCAGGCACCAGCUCCCUUCCCCUUGCAGGGCCCUGCCCCAGGCCGGUGGGUCGCCUCAGCAGGAGCCCAGGGUCGCCGACAGGAUCUGAUGCACCAUGGGUGCGUGCCCAUGCCUGACUGCUGGCUGUAUUGUCACUGUAACUGUCAACCCCUGUGCCUCCCCCCACCUUACAGAGCCUCGCGGGCUCAGCCUCAGGAUGCUGGAUCUUUGUCGUUGUUAACGACUAAACACAAGACUUCUGUUCUCCUCUUCCCUGGGACCAACACAGGACAGGGCGCACAAUCUGAUCCUGGCUGACAAGACCGGACAGGAAGGGUCCCGAGGGACUUCCAGAACUCUUCCCUUGCUCCUGAGAAGGUACAGAAUUCCUUCCCUGCUCCCACACUGGGCUGAGGCGAAGGCUGUCGGGCCCUCUGGCCAUCUUGCGAUCACAAGGGGGUGACCGACAGUCUGAAAACCGGUCAGGACCUGUGUGAAUUCACAACUCACUCCAAGCUGACCAACCCUGGACUGCCCUGUUGACCUUCCAGAAAUGCUGGACUCCUGGCUGUUGAAGCCAAGGGGAGUUGGGAACUUUGAGCUGCAGGUGAAAUCAACCUUACUCAGUAAUGGAUGAAUUGGAAGAAAUUCAAAGAUCGCAUCCUGAGGUUGUGACAUGAACUUAGAGCUUAGCAGCCUAGACCAGCAAGCAGUGGAAGGGCUCCACCCUCCUGACCUCAUCACCUCCCAAAGGCCUCACCUCCUAAUACCGUGGCAUUGGGUGGGGGUGGGGGUGGGAAAACAGGUGUCAACAUAUGAAUUGUGAGGAGACGCACGCAUUUAGUCUGCGCUGGUCAGGGCUCCCAUUUUGGAGCAUCCCCAGGAGCCAGCCCGGGGGUCUUGCAAGUUCACGCUGGCCCCUUCCGUGGGCUGGACGGGGGCAGGGCCGUGCAGCUCACCGCUGUGUCUCUGAAUGCAGGGACUGGCCCAAAGCGGGGGUUCAGGAACCGUGGGAGGCAGGUGCCAACCACUAAGGAAAGCAGAGGCGGUUCGGAGGCCCCGAUCCCAUGAGGUCAUCACGAAUGUCACCUUGGGGGCCGGCCACCGCGAGAACCGAUCCAGCUUUUCUCAUUCCCAGGGUGGGGGAUGGUGGGAGCGGCACAGAGAGGCAAGACCGCAGGGUUUUUAAAAUAACUGCAUCCUUUAAUGGCAGUAAUACAAUUAUUGGAUUAAGAGACCACAGGAGAAAGGGCAGGUGACAUUUCUGGAAGACAGAGAAGGAGUACAAAAAGGGAGCUGGGACAGUCAUGCGAUGAUCAUUGUAAAAAUACAGUACGUUAUAUACAUAUUUGCACCAUCAACUUUCAACUCUGAAGUAAUAUUUACACUUUUGUUACAAUCCUGGUUAGAGAACAUUUUAUUUUUAAAAGCUUGGCCUGAUGGCAAAUGAAAAUUUUGGGGGGAAUUCAUAGUCCCGUGAGGUUCUUAGGCUGAAUAUUCCUAGAGGAGGGUUCCAGCUUCUAUUUCAUCCACAGAUUUCGGUUUUAAAAAAGUAUUUAAUUUUGCUUUUACAAAAGAAAAUUCUCAAAGGAGGGAGAGAGAGAAGGAAAAA